UUGAGCCGUGUGAGUGCGAAAGUCUCAUGCACGGUUCUUAGGGGAGGGGAGAGAGGUAACUCUCGAACCUUACCCGAC
rnacentral:ncRNA from 1 species